UAGGGUAUUGGCCUAACAUGGCUAUGACGGGUAACGGGGAAUUAGAGUUCGAUUCCGGAGAGGGAGCCUGAGAAAUAGCUACCACAUCUAAGGAAGGCAGCAGGCGCGUAAAUUACCCAAUUCUAAAGAAGAGAGGUAGUGACAAGAAAUAACAAUACAAGGCCAAUCUGGCUUUGUAAUUGGAAUGAUGGGAAUUUAAAACCUUCCCAAAACUCAAUUGGAGGGCAAGUCUGGUGCCAGCAGCCGCGGUAAUUCCAGCUCCAAUAGCGUAUAUUAAAAUUGUUGCAGUUAAAACGCUCGUAGUUGAAUUUCAAAGAAUCGACAUUUUAAGCAACGCUUUUAGCUUAAUCCACAUAACUGAUACUUCGUAUCGACUUUGUGCGCAUUUUGCUAUUAUGUGUUCUUUUAAUUAAAAUGAUUCUUUUUAAGGAUUUUCUUUGCUUCGGCUUUGAAAUCCUUGUUACUUUGAGUAAAUUAGAGUGUUCAAAGCAAACAGAUAUAGCAUUGCGCGUUUGAAUACUACAGCAUGGAAUAACAAAAUUGAACAAGUCAGAAUUUUGUUCUUUUUUCUUAUUUUGGCUUAGUUACGAUUAAUAGGAGUAGCUUGGGGGCAUUUGUAUUCAGAUGUCAGAGGUGAAAUUCUUAGAUUUUCUGGAGACAAACAACUGCGAAAGCAUUUGCCUAAAAUACUUCCAUUAAUCAAGAACGAAA
rnacentral:rRNA from 1 species